GUGAGGAAUAUUGCGCAAUGGAGGCAACUCUGACGCAGCCAUGCCGCGUGCAGGAAGAAGGCGCUACGCGUUGUAAACUGCUUUUAACCGGGAAGAAACCCCAGGACGUGUCCUGGAUUGACGGUACCGGAGGAAUAAGCACCGGCUAACUUCGUGCCAGCAGCCGCGGUAAUACGAAGGGUGCAAGCGUUAUCCGGAUUCAUUGGGUUUAAAGGGUGCGUAGGCGGAGCGUUAAGUCAGUGGUGAAAUCCUGCAGCUUAACUGUAGACUUGCCAUUGAUACUGGCGCUCUUGAGUGCGCUUGAAGUGGGCGGAAUGUGCCGUGUAGCGGUGAAAUGCUUAGAUAUGGCACAGAACACCAAUUGCGAAGGCAGCUCACUAAGGCGAUACUGACGCUGAGGCACGAAAGCGUGGGGAUCGAACAGGAUUAGAAACCCCUGUAGUCC
rnacentral:rRNA from 1 species